rnacentral:rRNA from 1 species
GCAUCGAUGAAGAACGCAGCGAAACGCGAUAGGUAAUGUGAAUUGCAGAAUUCCGUGAAUCAUCGAAUCUUUGAACGCACCUUGCGCUCCAUGGCAUUCCGUGGAGCAUGCCUGUUUGAGCGCCGCGAAAUCUCCCACCCCUAGCGGUUGCCGCAAGGCGCCGCCGGGCGGCGGGGUUGGUUGGGUGCCGCUGCCUGGGCUUUGGCCCAGGCUCGCCCGAAAUGCAUGAGCGCUUAGCACUCGCACCGUCUCGAGGGAAGGCGGCGGAGCUGGCAUCUGCGCAUGGCAUGAUACGUCAUUUGCUGUGUGGCAGCCCGGCGACCCGAGAGUGUGUGUGCGCUACUACACGCCCUUUCAUUUCUGGUCUCAAAUCAGGUAGGAUCACCCGCUGAACUUAAGCAUAUCAAUAAGCGGAGGA